rnacentral:rRNA from 1 species
UGGUGGAAGAGUGGCGAACGGGUGAGUAACACGUGGGCAAUCUGCCCUGCACUCUGGGACAAGCCCUGGAAACGGGGUCUAAUACCGGAUACGACUGCCGGCCGCAUGGUCUGGUGGUGGAAAGCUCCGGCGGUGCAGGAUGAGCCCGCGGCCUAUCAGCUUGUUGGUGGGGUGAUGGCCUACCAAGGCGACGACGGGUAGCCGGCCUGAGAGGGCGACCGGCCACACUGGGACUGAGACACGGCCCAGACUCCUACGGGAGGCAGCAGUGGGGAAUAUUGCACAAUGGGCGCAAGCCUGAUGCAGCGACGCCGCGUGAGGGAUGACGGCCUUCGGGUUGUAAACCUCUUUCAGCAGGGAAGAAGCGCAAGUGACGGUACCUGCAGAAGAAGCACCGGCUAACUACGUGCCAGCAGCCGCGGUAAUACGUAGGGUGCGAGCGUUGUCCGGAAUUAUUGGGCGUAAAGAGCUCGUAGGCGGCUUGUCACGUCGGAUGUGAAAGCCCGGGGCUUAACCCCGGGUCUGCAUUCGAUACGGGCAGGCUAGAGUUCGGUAGGGGAGAUCGGAAUUCCUGGUGUAGCGGUGAAAUGCGCAGAUAUCAGGAGGAACACCGGUGGCGAAGGCGGAUCUCUGGGCCGAUACUGACGCUGAGGAGCGAAAGCGUGGGGAGCGAACAGGAUUAGAUACCCUGGUAGUCCACGCCGUAAACGUUGGGAACUAGGUGUGGGCGACAUUCCACGUCGUCCGUGCCGCAGCUAACGCAUUAAGUUCCCCGCCUGGGGAGUACGGC